rnacentral:rRNA from 1 species
CCUGAAGAUGAGCCUGCGGUCCAUUAGCUAGUUGGUAGCGUAAAAAGCCUACCAAGGCAACGAUGGAUAGCUGGUCUGAGAGGAUGAUCAGCCACACUGGAACUGAGACACGGUCCAGACUCCUACGGGAGGCAGCAGUAAGGAAUAUUGCUCAAUGGCCGAAAGGCUGAAGCAGCAACGCCGCGUGAAGGAUGAAUGGCCUUUGGCCUGUAAACUUCUGUAAAAAGGGAAAAACAGUCAGGUAUAUCCUGAUUUGAUUGUACCUUUGAAGUAAGCCCCGGCUAACUACGUG